UCCCUGGUGGCUCAGAGGUUAAAGCGUCUGCCUGCAAUGCAGGUGACCUGGGUUCGAUUCUUGUGUUGGGAA
rnacentral:tRNA from 1 species